rnacentral:misc_RNA from 1 species
GAAAUGCGAUAAGUAAUGUGAAUUGCAGAAUUCAGUGAAUCAUCGAAUCUUUGAACGCACAUUGCGCCCCCUGGUAUUCCGGGGGGCAUGCCUGUUCGAGCGUCAUUUCACCACUCCAGCCUCGCUUGGUAUUGGGCAACGCGGUCCGCCGCGUGCCUCAAAUCGACCGGCUGGGUCUUCUGUCCCCUAAGCGUUGUGGAAACUAUUCGCUAAAGGGUGUUCGGGAGGCUACGCCGUAAAACAACCCCAUUUCUAAGGUUGACCUCGGAUCAGGUAGGGAUACCCGCUGAACUUAAGC